rnacentral:rRNA from 1 species
CAACCUGCCUUUCUAGAGGGGGAUAACAAUUUGAAACAAAUGCUAAUACCGCAUAAGAUUACAGUACCGCAUGAUACAGUGAUCAAAGGAAGCAAUCCGCUGAAAGAUGGGCUCGCGUCCGAUUAGAUAGUUGGUGAGGUAACGGCUCACCAAGUCGACGAUCGGUAGCCGGACUGAGAGGUUGAACGGCCACAUUGGGACUGAGACACGGCCCAG